AUUGAACGCUGGCGGCAUGCCUUACACAUGCAAGUCGAACGGAUUGAAGGGGCUUGCUCCUUCAGUUAGUGGCGAACGGGUGAGUAAAGCAUCGGAACGUACCCAGUCGUGGGGGAUAACGUAGCGAAAGUUACGCUAAUACCGCAUACGAUCUGAGGAUGAAAGCGGGGGAUCGCAAGACCUCGCGCGAUUGGAGCGGCCGAUGUCGGAUUAGCUAGUUGGUGAGGUAAAGGCUCACCAAGGCGACGAUCCGUAGCUGGUCUGAGGGGAUGAUCAGCCACACUGGAAGUGAGACACGGUCCAGACUCCUACGGGAGGCAGCAGUGGUGAAUUUUGGACAAUGGGGGAAACCCUGAUCCAGCCAUGCCGCGUGAGUGAAGAAGGCCUUCGGGUUGUAAAGCUCUUUCAGUCGGAAAGAAAAGGCUCCGGAUAAUACCUGGAGUUGAUGACGGUACCGACAGAAGGAGCACCGGCUAACUACGUGCCAGCCGCCGCCGUAA
rnacentral:rRNA from 1 species